GAUGAACGCUGGCGGCGUGCCUAAUACAUGCAAGUAGAACGCUGAAGGAGGAGCUUGCUCUUCUGGAUGAGUUGCGAACGGGUGAGUAACGCGUAGGUAACCUGCCUGGUAGCGGGGGAUAACUAUUGGAAACGAUAGCUAAUACCGCAUGACAACAGUUAUUGCAUGAUAACUGUUUAAAAGGGGCAACUGCUCCACUACCAGAUGGACCUGCGUUGUAUUAGCUAGUUGGUGAGGUAACGGCUCACCAAGGCGACGAUACAUAGCCGACCUGAGAGGGUGAGCGGCCACACUGGGACUGAGACACGGCCCAGACUCCUACGGGAGGCAGCAGUAGGGAAUCGUCGGCAAUAGACGGAAGUCUGACCGAGCAACGCCGCGGGAGUGAAGAAGGUUUUCGGAUCGUAAAGCUCUGUUGUAAGAGAAGAACGAGUGUGAGAGUGGAAAGUUCACACUGUGACGGUAUCUUACCAGAAAGGGACGGCUAACUACGUG
rnacentral:rRNA from 1 species